rnacentral:rRNA from 1 species
GAUGAACGCUGGCGGCGUGCCUAAUACAUGCAAGUCGAGCGAACAGACGAGGAGCUUGCUCCUCUGACGUUAGCGGCGGACGGGUGAGUAACACGUGGAUAGCCUACCUAUAAGACUGGGAUAACUUCGGGAAACCGGAGCUAAUACCGGAUAAUAUAUUGAACCGCAUGGUUCAAUAGUGAAAGACGGUUUUGCUGUCACUUAUAGAUGGAUCCGCGCCGCAUUAGCUAGUUGGUAAGGUAACGGCUUACCAAGGCAACGAUGCGUAGCCGACCUGAUAGGGGGAUCGGCCACACUGGAACUGAGACACGGUCCAGACUCCUACGGGAGGCAGCAGUAGGGAAUCUUCCGCAAUGGGCGAAAGCCUGACGGAGCAACGCCGCGUGAGUGAUGAAGGUCUUCGGAUCGUAAAACUCUGUUAUUAGGGAAGAACAAAUGUGUAAGUAACUAUGCACGUCUUGACGGUACCUAAUCAGAAAGCCACGGCUAACUACGUG